rnacentral:lncRNA from 1 species
AAGUACAGUUCAUUUUACAAAUGUAAGGGUAUUUUAUUUAAGGAUUCUUUUGAUAUAAUUUAUUCUGCCAAUAUGUCAAUGUAGUGAAACUGUUAUUUUUAUCUUUAGAUGGACUUCUCAUUCAUAAAAAAUAAAAAUAAAAAAGUCUUCUCAGUCAUUAAUGAUAUCUGGUGAUAGACUGUUUUUUUUUUUCUAAUGCCAAAAGUCCCAUGAUGCUAACUCAUCAUGAUGCAUGAGUUGGCUAUAGGAUUCCAGUCCGUGGUUCACUUUGCCAGGACAUGAAUGUCAGAUUCUCUGACUCCCUUCAAUAUUGUGAGACAGAGGGAGAGAAAAUGAG